rnacentral:lncRNA from 1 species
CUCCAUGCCUACAGUGAGAAAGAUUACCAAAUAAACCAUCUUCUAGCCCUGCAAAUCUAUUUUAUUUGGCCCAUUAGCAGCAUAUGACACAGUUAGUGAACUUUUCUUCCUUAAAUGUUUUCCUUCACUCAUGGUAGUUUUCUUUGUACCAAUUGUUCUCUUCCCUUACUGGUUCCCUCUCACCCCCCACCCCCACCUCAUGCAGAAUUACAAAUAUUGAAGAACUCUGGGAGUCUGUCUUUAGACUCGUCAUUUACAUGGAUGAUCACUCCCCCUUGAAAUUUCAUCCAGGGUUCAAGGUUUAAAAAUUGCCUUCAAUUGGAGUAUUUAUUUACUUUUUAUCUUUAGUCCCUAUCUCUUUCCAGAAUUGACUCAUAAUGGCGGCUUCCUCAAUGCCUUCCCAGGCAGGAAUGGAUCUCCUGUUCAUUUCAAAUUGAAUACUUCUCAAACUAUUAACCAAUCAAAUAAAAAAUAGUUAAUAUGGUCAUCAUCUCAGAUCUUACUUGGAAACUAUGUGAUGACUACAGUCAUUGGUACAGUAAUGGAGAGAUGAUCUAAAAUAGUUUGGUGAUAUUCUUCCACAGGAAUAUUCUGCCAGGGCUGUUGAGAAAGGUUGUUUCCAUCCACUGUUGUUACUAAAUUUGUACUACGUUUAGGAUUGUAAGAACUGAUUUGCCAGUUUGAGUUGGCUUUCGAAUAUUAACAAGAGAGUCCAGAUGACACCAGUAAGUAAGCUUUCUCUCUCCUUUCAACUGUACCUGAGGCUGACAUAGUGUGCUUCCUUUUGUAGAAACUAGUAAUCCUCUCUUCAUCUUUCAGCAAAUGUCUGCCUCUUGAAAAUUUAUAAUCUGGUCUACCAGAAAAUACCUAGUGGUUUUCAUUGAUAUACUAUGUGAUCAUACUUCUCUGCUUUACAAUUCAGUAGGACUAGAACAGAACCAAGGAUAAAUAGAUAAUGAAACUUAAUUUAGUUUCAUGUGCCCAACACAAGGCUAGUUUCUCCAUUCCUACUUGAUACUUAGUUAUACUAGGUUAAUUAUAAAGUUAGUUAUGAUACUAACCACUGAUUUUUCUUGUUCUUCAUUGAAUUUCUGUAUAUCCAUAUCAAACUUCUGCUCACACAAUUUGUUGUUGAUCUUCUUUCUGUAAAGCACAGUAAUAAAAGCAGUCACAUUUCAUACCAAUAUGAAAAAGAACACUCAAAACAAAUUAAAUUGACCAUUUCAUACUAUAAAAAGAAAAACAGCAGUAAAAUAUUAUCUAAUGGGAAAUCAUUAUAGUUUUUUUUCCCUGAAAGAUUAUCAGAGAAGUCUUCUUUUAUGUUUUAGCUUUUCAAAAAUUAAAGAAGUUUUAAUACAUAUAUAUCAUAUUUUAGAAAAUUAAUUGUAUUUCGAAGUAUUUUUUCAUUAUUUUCUAUCAAAUAUAACAUCUAAUUUAUUUUCCUAUAUUGAUUCAGUUAAGACUUAGUGCAAAACAUAAGUCAAUUAAAAUAUACAAAUUGUCUGCAUAUGUAAUUGAUUUUUCCAUAUUGUUAAACAUAAAAAACAACAAAUUACAUUUCUAAGAUUUUGUGCAAGACUUCUGUGUUUCCACAAUGAAUGUAAAUCAAAUUUUAAAAUCUCAUUAACAGGUACUUAAAGUAGAAAAUAAAAAUUUUCACAGAUUUCUAAGAAUUAGAUUUAGUUUCCUUGAAGGCAUGAAGUUAUAGGGUUAACUGCUUAGACAAAAUCAAAGACACACAUUUUUACUAAAAGCUCAGUAAUGGAUUUUUUUUUAAACUUCAGCCACAUAUAAUUUUUUAAAUGAUACAAUUAUGACCCUACCAAACUAACAACUCUACCUCUCCCAUUUGUUCGUUUGCCAAAGUCAUUCUAAUUUCUGGUUGCUUUUUUUUUUUUUUUUUUGAAAGAAUCUUUGAUAUAAGUUUCCAUGUGUUUUCUCUUUAUGUGACUCCAGGUCCAAGGUUUCUGAAAUAAUCAUCUUAUAUCUAUGGGCAACAGGCACAUAUGUGGUGCACAUAUAUACCUGUAAGCAAAACACUAACACUAAUACACAAAUAUGUCUGAAAAAUAGGUAUUAAGAGCAUUGUUUCUUAAGCCAUGUAAGACGUUUUGGGUCUAUGAUCCUAGUCUAGGAAGCUUAGCAGGAGAUUUCCAGUGUAAAGGACAACAUAGGUUACAUAGGAAAAUUCCACCCAGCCUGACAUACAUAGUGAGACUAUAUAUCAAAGACAAAUUAUUGUCCUCUAAGAAAGCUCAUGCAACAUUCAAUUACAUAUAAUUUAAAAUAGAUUCUUUGGGAUCUGAGUUUCAUUCCCUCACUGGUUAGUAAAUUUGUCUUUCACUUUCAGUUACAUAAUUCAUUUUAUAAAAAUCAGUGAGGGGAUUGGUGAGAUGAUUCAUCAGUUAAGAGCACUGGUUCCCUUCCAGAGAUAUGAGAAUGGAUUCCCAGCAUCC